CCAAGCCAUCGAUCUGUAGCUGGUCUGAGAGGACGACCAGCCACACUGGGACUGAGAGACGGCCCAGACUCCUACGGGAGGCAGCAGUGGGGAAUUUUGGACAAUGGGCGCAAGCCUGAUCCAGCCAUGCCGCGUGCGGGAAGAAGGCCUUCGGGUUGUAAACCGCUUUUGUCAGGGAAGAAACGCUCUGGGCUAAUACCCCGGGGUAAUGACGGUACCUGAAGAAUAAGCACCGGCUAACUACGUGCCAGCAGCCGCGGUAAUACGUAGGGUGCAAGCGUUAAUCGGAAUUACUGGGCGUAAAGCGUGCGCAGGCGGUUGUGCAAGACAGGUGUGAAAUCCCCGGGCUUAACCUGGGAACUGCACUUGUGACUGCACGGCUAGAGUGCGGCAGAGGGGGAUGGAAUUCCGCGUGUAGCAGUGAAAUGCGUAGAUAUGCGGAGGAACACCGAUGGCGAAGGCAAUCCCCUGGGCCUGCACUGACGCUCAUGCACGAAAGCGUGGGGAGCAAACAGGAUUAGAUACCCUGGUAGUCCACGCCCUAAACGAUGUCAACUGGUUGUUGGGAGGGUUUCUUCUCAGUAACGUAGCUAACGCGUGAAGUUGACCGCCUGGGGAGUACGGCCGCAAGGUUG
rnacentral:rRNA from 1 species